rnacentral:lncRNA from 1 species
UACUGGCCCAGUUCAAACCUGUUUUGUACAAGGGUCUACUGUAUAAUGGGUGUUGUGCUGUGUUCUAUAAACGUCAGUAGGAUUCUGUUGGUUGGUGGCAUUUUCGAGUUCUUCUAUGUCCUUGCUGAUGUUCUGUUUUUGGAAGAAAACAUAGGAUUGAUGUCACUGCUGUUUCAGCCUGUAGUCCACUGUUAGGACUUCAAUGUUGCAAAAUGCUGAGGAUGUAGUUGAGACAGAGAAGGUGUAGACUUUCCAUUGAUUGACGGAAAAAGACAGUCUCUAGAGGAAUGACCUUAAAAAGCCCAAGAUGAUUUAAAAAAUACUCAACCUCCUAGAUCUCAGGUAUGAAUUUUUUUGUUGUUGUUUCUCUAAAACAUGAAAGAUAGUAGUAGCUAAUUUUAUGAGUGUAUUUAUAACCAACUUCAAAGGAACUCAUUUUCUUUGCAUUUAUUAAAAUAUGACACUGACUCAGGAGGGUGAGGCAGGUUUGCUUGAGGCCAGGAGUUUGGGACCUGCCUGGGCAAUGCAGGCAGAUGGCAGAUCUAAAAGAGAAAAAGAAAAAUUAGGUGGGCAUGGUGGUACACACAUGCAGUCCUAGCUGCUCAGGAGGUUGAGGUGGGAUAAUCACUUGAGCCUAGGAGUUCCAGGCUGCAGUGAGUUAUGAUCGUGCUAUUGCAUUGCAGCCUGGUAGUCUCAAAAAAAUAAAAAAAAAUUUUAAAAAGACACUUAAAUAAAGUUUUAUCAGUAUUUAUGUUCUCAAGCUGCGUUAAUCAUCUAGCGAAGAUAGCAUGGUACAGCCAUCUCUUUAAUUAUAUAGUUUAUUACAAUGAUUAGCAUCC